UACGUAGGGGGCGAGCGUUGUCCGGAAUCAUUGGGCGUAAAGCGUGCGUAGGCGGCCCGGUAAGUCCGUUGUGAAAGUCAAAGGCUCAACCUUUGAACGCCGAUGGAUACUGCCGGGCUAGAGUCCGGAAGAGGCGAGUGGAAUUCCUGGUGUAGCGGUGGAAUGCGCAGAUAUCAGGAGGAACACCAAUAGCGAAGGCAGCUCGCUGGGACGGUACUGACGCUGAGGCGCGAAAGCGUGGGGAGCGAACAGG
rnacentral:rRNA from 1 species